GGCAUCAAACUUCAUUGACGUUGAUUGUUGUGCCGUAAUAUUAGAUAGUGGCAGAGGACUUUGUGCUAUAAGUCAUGUUCUACGAUUUUUGAAAUCUAUAGCAUUGACCUUCUCUAUAAUCCGAAUUGCCUCUUUGAAUGUUUGUAGAUCCCUUAACUCCACCUCUCGCUGGACUCUAGGUUUCAAACCUUGUAGGAAUCUUAAUCCAAAUCUUAAUCCAAACCCUAAUCCAAACCCUAAUCCAAAUCUUGUAGGAAUCUUAAUCCAAAUCUUAAUCCAAACCCUAAUCCAAAUCCUAAUCCAAAUCUUGUAGGAAUCCUAAUCCAAAUCCUAAUCCAAACCCUAAUCCAAUCCUAAAUUCUAAUCCAAAUCCUAAACCCUAAACCAAACCUUAAAUCAAACCCUAACCAAACCCUAGUCCAAACUCUAAUCCAAACCCUAAAUCAAACCCUAACCAAACCUUAAAUCCUAAUCCAAACCCUAAUCCAAAUCCUAAUCCAACCUUAAACUCUAAUCCAAACCCUAAAUACUAAACCAAACCUUAAAUCAAAUCCAAACCAAAUCCUAAACCCUAAUCCAAACCCUAAUCCAAAUCCUAGAAAACCCUAAUCCAAAUCCUAAACCGAACCCUAGCCAAACCCUAAUCCAAAUCCUAGUAAUUCCUAUGACAGAUUUAAACCUCAAUAUCUAAUGAAUAAACCGUUGAUCUCAAUUCAAAAUUUGCACACUUCUUAAAAAUCAAGUUCAAAACAAGCAAAAAAAAUUUGAAAAGGAUCGGAGUUACCAAAUUGACGAAAACUUCAAAAAUGUGUUCGGGUGUUAGCUGGCCUCCUUCUCCAAUCUUGUUGCCAACCUUCCAGAGCCAAUUUCUCUUCUUUGCGCCGUUCGAUUGGUUUCAAAUUUCUCAUGGACAUAGGAAAAAAAUUCUAAUAUCCUCUCACAUAAGUUUUACUCCAAUCCAACUAGUAGAUUGUAUGAAAUCUUAAAAACCCUCACAAGACCUAAAAUUCUACUUUCUGAGACUUUGACUCACUUAAACCUCAAUAUCUCUUAGUUCAACCGUUAGAUCAAGCUCAAAUUCAAAACAUGUAUUUAACACAACUGUAACCAUGAACCCAAAAAAAUUCACCCGUAGAUCUACAACAAAACUCUUGAAAUCACUCAAAACAUAAACCCUAUUUUAUUUCAUAAAACCCAAGUCAUCCGAAAAAAACUCAACUUUGCAAAGCUCAUACAAAUUCAUAUCAACUCCAAAUCACCCAAAA
rnacentral:lncRNA from 1 species